GGUACGGUGGCGAAGUGGUAACGCAGCGGUCUGCAAAACCGCCAUUCGAGGGUUCGAUCCCCUUCCGUACCUCAA
rnacentral:tRNA from 1 species